GAGGCAGCUUAGCCCAGCGGUUCCAUCGACCAGUGCAUAGCUUGGAGCCUGCAAUCACCCACAGUGGCUUGAAACCCACGGGCACUGCCUGGCUUUUAA
rnacentral:vault_RNA from 1 species